rnacentral:rRNA from 1 species
UACGAAGGGUGCAAGCGUUACUCGGAAUUACUGGGCGUAAAGGGCGCGUAGGCGGCAAUUCAAGUCAUCUGUGAAAUCUCCGGGCUUAACUCGGAAUGGUCAGGUGAUACUGCUUUGCUAGAGUGCAGAAGGGGCAAUCGGAAUUCUUGGUGUAGCGGUGAAAUGCGUAGAUAUCAAGAGGAACACCUGAGGUGAAGACGGGUUGCUGGGCUGACACUGACGCUGAGGCGCGAAAGCUAGGGGAGCAAACGGG